rnacentral:rRNA from 1 species
AUACGUAGGUGACAAGCGUUAUCCGGAUUUACUGGGCGUAAAGGGCGUGUAGGCGGUCUUGCAAGUCAGAAGUGAAAUUCCUGAGCUCAACUCGGGCGCUGCUUCUGAAACUGCAGGACUUGAGUGCUGGAGGGGAUAGCGGAAUUCCUAGUGGAGCGGUAAAAUGCGCAGAUAUUAGGAAGAACACCGGUGGCGAAGGCGGCGAUCUGGACAGUAACUGACGCUGAGGCGCGAAAGCGUGGGGAGCAAACGGGAUUAGAUACCCUGUUAGUCCACGCCGUAAACGAUGAAUACUAGGUGUAGGGGGUAUCGACUCCCUCUGUGCCGCAGUUAACACAAUAAGUAUUCCGCCUGGGGAGUACGGCCGCAAGGUUGAAACUCAAAUGAAUUGGCGGGG